AUUGAAGACCAAAGAUUAAUGACUUACAAGUCGAAUUUAAAUAUAUUUUUUUAUAUAUUUUUUUUAAAGAAUUAAAAUGCUAAAAGGGCUAAUUAUUGUGGGAGCUCUAUUAUUCCCAAUACCGUGUUAGAAAACCCCUGGCCCCACAUUACACAUUUACCCUAUUGCCCCUUCCAUUUUCUCGUUUUUCCCUCCAAGCCCCGCCCCCAGUCGCCCCCUUUCCCUUUUCCUCUUUUCCCCUCCAGCUAAACACCCCCCCGCCCCCCCUUGUUUUUCCAGUUUUUUUUAAUUUUUUUUAUUAAAUAUAUUUCUUUUCUUUAUCAGUUUUAGUUUUAUUUUUGGAUAAACAAUUUAUAUUAUAUUUUUCUAAAAUUUUGUUUAUUUUUUAUAAAAGAAUUUUUCUUUAUAAUAUGGAUUAAAAUUUAUAAUAUUUUUUUUAAAAUUUCUCUCAAUUUAUAAAAUUUAAUACAAAAUUGAUUAAUAUAAAAUGUUUUUUUUAUAUAAAAAAUACAAGGUAGGAGUAAAAUAAAUUAUAAAAUUUUAUCAUAUUUUUUAAUAUAAAAAUUAAAAGUGAAAGUAAAAAGAAAAAAAAUAGAAUCAAGGGGUAUUAAAAGGGAAAAAAGGAAUAAAAGGAAUGAAUGGCUAUAUAAAAAAAUUAUGAUAAAUUGUUUUAAUUUUUUUUACUCCCACCUUAUAUUUUUUAUAAAAGAAAAAAAUAUGGAUCAUAAAAAUAAUUUUGAGAUAAAAAGUUUUGGAGAUGGGAGUAACAUAAAUUAUAAAAUUUUAUCAUAAAAAGUAAAAGAAAAUUAAAAAACUUUGAUCAAUUUUUUUUAAUAAAUAACCAAGAACUGAUCAAUUUUUGAUCAAUUUUUUAAACACAUAAAAAUUUAUUUAUCAAAUUAUUUUGUAAUACCAUCUAUUCUUCCGAUUUUUUAAUUAAAUUUUUGAACACUUAUUUUUUAAAAAAAUUUUAUUUGUCAUAAAAAACUAUUGCUCGUAUUCAAGGCAAUUACUUCGUCCAAGUUUUCUUACGCCCUCAUUACUUGUACCACCCACCUCAGUAUGGUGACGGUAACAUUAUCAUCGAAAUUAGGGGAUGGAUUUGAUAGUUAUAUAGUACGAAGGAAUUUAUGGUCAGAAAUAUGAGUGAGAACCGGGUGCUCCCAGAAGAGAGUUUUUUGAUGAGAUAUUGAUUAAAAAUUAUGGUUUUUUAUAUAAUGGUGGGAAUUUUACUACUGUAUUGAUAUGCCUAAAAAUUAGUAUUUUUUUAUAUGUUUUUUUAUUAACAAGUAAAAACUAAUAAAAAAAUUUAGUGUUAAAAAUUUUUAAAAAAAUCGGAAUAAUAAUGGUAUUAACAAAAAAAAUUAAUAAAUAAAUUUCUUUGUGUUUAAAAAAUUUAAUAAAAAGUCAGAAUGUAAAGAAAAAAAAAUCAUAAAAUAUUUUGAUUAUUUUUUAUAAAUUAUUAAAAAAAUAACAGAAGAAUAGAACAUAUAAGAACUAAAAUAAUUUAUCCAAAAAUAAAAUAAAAGUGAUAAAAAAAAUUAAUUUAUAAUAAAAAAAAACUGAUAAAAAAAAUAAUAAAAAAAAGUGAACCAAACGGGGCUUCUCGCUGAGAGAGAGGGGGGUCAAAUUUGGCCAAAGGAAAAUAAAUUUAAUAAUAAAAAAACAAAAUUAAUAAAAAAACUAAUGAAUAAAAAUGGAACCAAAGCGGGGGGACGGCUCGCUGAGAGAGAGAGAGAGGGGUCAAAUUCGGCCAACGGCUCCCAAAACAUGUCCCCCGUGGGGGUGGGAAUAAUAGUUUUUUUAUUGUGGGUAGUGGAGUCCACUCUUCCCUUCUAUUGGACCAUUGGUCAAACAUUGGGCCCACACUCCAAAUUAUCUUCUUCAUUUCUUCUCCUUAAUUUCGCUAACCUCCCCUUUUAAGUAUUCUUACAAAUACAGCAAUCCCUUGUAAUCUUUGAAAUAUCAGUUAUCGUACUUACUUUUGAACCUAUUUUGAAACUAUUAUGAAGAAUUUUUUUUAGGAGCUAAUUUUUUUACAAAAAUAAGAAGAUUUUUCUAUUUUUAAGGUUUUCAUAUUUUUUUCUCAUCACACCAAUUAAAUUAAUACACAUUCUAUCAUUUUUUUAUAUUUUUAUUUUCUUUUAUAAUAAAUACUAAAAAAAUGUUAGUAAUACAUGAUUACUCUUUUUUUGCAAUGAUUUUUUUGUUUUUUUUAUAAUAAAGUAUAUUUGUUUUUAAGUAUGUUUAGAUUAGUUAGUUUAUGAAUAAAUAGCAGUGUCCAUUUUUUUUUAGUACGUAUAAAUUAAUUAAUUUUCGUGGAGCGAAGUCCAUCUCAAUUAGACUUAUUCUGCCAUUGGUUUUUGAAAUACUAUUUGCGCUAAAAAGUGAAUAAAAUCCAAACAUAACAAUGGUUUUGAUUUUUCAUAAACAGUUUCCAAAAAAAGCUAUGUAAAAUUUAUCUUUAAUUAUACAAAAAUAAAUAUAUUUUUCUUUUUUG
rnacentral:lncRNA from 1 species